rnacentral:rRNA from 1 species
GACGAACGCUGGCGGCGUGCUUAACACAUGCAAGUCGAACGGAAAGGCCCUGCUUUUGUGGGGUGCUCGAGUGGCGAACGGGUGAGUAACACGUGAGUAACCUGCCCUUGACUUUGGGAUAACUUCAGGAAACUGGGGCUAAUACCGGAUAGGAGCUCCUGCUGCAUGGUGGGGGUUGGAAAGUUUCGGCGGUUGGGGAUGGACUCGCGGCUUAUCAGCUUGUUGGUGGGGUAGUGGCUUACCAAGGCUUUGACGGGUAGCCGGCCUGAGAGGGUGACCGGCAACAUUGGGACUGAGAUAGGGCCCAGACGCCUACGGGAGGCAGCAGGGGGGAAUAGUGCAGAAUGGGCGGAAGCCUGAUGCAGCAACGCCGCGUGCGGGAUGACGGCCUUCGGGUUGUAAACCGCUUUCGCCUGUGACGAAGCGUGAGUGACGGUAAUGGGUAAAGAAGCACCGGCUAACUACGUG